CAAAUCCAUUGACUGAACUCCACACACCGACAGAAUAGCAUGUUGAAACAGGAAAAGUGCAGGAAGGAAAUCAAUUCAACCAAAACAAAUGUCCCUAAUCAAAUAGGAAGCUUCGCUUUCAGCAAAGUGGUUUCGGGAAUGUGAACACAUGAUUCACACCAUCAAUCACAGCGUCCGUCUAUCAACCCAACAUUCUCAUCGCAGACAGCCUCGAAAACCGGCUUCUUCAAAGGAAGAUAAACGGCAGUCAUUACAUGGGGAGUAACUCGGGCUACGUUACACUCUGGUUGGAAAAGGAACGUGUUCCGGUGACCAGUCCCAAGACUAUGUGGACAUGCCACAGGAAGAGGACAUCCAACCUCAAAGGCAUUGCUUCUAUAGUAGCAGAGAGAAGAAAGAUGAGACACUGCUGACAUGUCCUAAAGUUUGUGUAAACAUGCCAGUGUCUGAACAUCCAGGGUCCCUGCAGUGGCCACAGGCAUCAGAAGUGGUACCCCACAUCACCCUGCAGUAAAUGGAGGGUCUGUUUUUGUGGCCUAUGUCCACGGCCAUUCUUUGCUGGCAUCCAGACGCUUUGCUUCUGAUAUCACGACAUGCGCACCUGCCUUUAUAUGACAAUGCAUGGGUUACCAUAUCUCCCCCGUGGGAAGUUUGAGUUUCAAUGGAUAUUAUAUGAUGUAAGAUGUCUGUCUUGUGGUUCCUUGAUUCUCUUAACAUGAUGGCUCCUCACUCCCAUGCCUUGGGAGAUCUUUGUCUUCUUUGCUGUCUACCCCGGAUUUGUUACUGUUGUCAGUGAGAGUUAACAGUGGUCUUUUGGAGGUAAACAGUGAAGCAACUGUCCUA